UUAAAAUAUAUAUAGAUUAUAAAUGAAAGAAAUCUAUUCAAUUUAAGCUUGAAUAUUAGACAAUAUUAAGAGAAUAUUCAAAAUGACAUUUUAUACAUAAAUACAUGCAUACAGUGUUUCCGCUACAUUCAUCCUGCCAUGAAAAUAAUCCCCCGCCACAGCCGCAGCUUCUCAGUCACAUCAUUCACAAUCGGGUAAUAAUUUACAGCAGAGUCACAGCCACACACUGGAAAAUAUUUGGGCUGCACUGACGCGUUGACCAAAUCGAUUAUGUCAAUUACAAAAAUAAGUCUUGCAUUCUCAACAAACCCUAGCCUGCGCGGAAUAAAAGAACCGCAACGCAUCAUAUAACGGCAUAUAAUUUAUAUGCCAGGCUGAAACUAACGGUCUAUACUCACGGUUACAAAGCAUUUGAAGUCAUUGUUGGUUCUUUAAAAUAUAUGAUGGAUAAACAAACGUGCUGUUUUCGGUGCGCACAGCCACACACACUUGAAUUGCUAGUUAAUUCCUCUUUCACAUCCCCUUGUGUUUGAACAGACACAUAACAUAAAAUUAUGUCAAAAUACCCAUCUCGACAAUUAUUCUGGUAAACACAGUCUUAACUGAACGAAAACAGCUGAGAAAGAAACCGGAUGUGUACCAUUAUACUGGAUCUGUGCAUCGGGUCUUAAAGAGACAGCAGCCUAUAAAUACCUGCAGCUGAAAAUGUCACGAAU